rnacentral:misc_RNA from 1 species
GGCGUACUCACCGAUCACAGUCGGAAAAGCCAUAUCUUUUUUCUCAUGGCUAUAAAUUCUUGAAAUUCAAGGGAGACACCACUAAACCCACUCACCUAAUUCACUCUCUUUCGCUAAUUCACUGCAAUCCAAUGACGAAGGAAGCCGAUUUCUCUUCUGUGGUUCGCCUCAACAUAGGAGGGAAGAAAUUUUGCACUACUGUUGAUACUUUGACGCAGCGCGAACCUGAUUCAAUGCUUGCUGCUAUGUUCAGUGGCCGGCAUACAGUGUGCGAGGACCUUGAGAAGGGAUAUGUCUUUGUUGAUAGGGACGGGAAACAUUUUAGGCAUAUUCUGAAUUGGUUGAGGGAUGGUGUGGUUCCCACACUUACUGAUGCUGAAUAUUCAGAGCUUAUGAGGGAGGCAGAAUACUAUCAGUUACUUGUAUGUGGUUAAGCCUAGUUUUCUUCUCUUCUUUUUUCCCCCCUUUUUUCUCCUUUUUUGGGUGCUAUGAAUGUAUGCAUUCGUUUUUUGAACAAAAAUUAGACAGUUCAUGAAAUGAAACUAUUCUUCCUUUGAGUAUUUAUUUGUAUAUUUAUUUUUGUACAAGGGGUUAAUUGAGGUGAUUAAUUCUCUUUUGAAAAAGAGAAAGGAAGCUGAUGAACUAGAUAGUGAAUUGACACGAACAGAUAUCAUCAGGUGUAUACAAUCUGAGAGAGUCCGAUUUCGAGGGGUUAAGCUUUCUGGCCUUGAUCUUUCUAAAUUGGUAAUUUUUUUAGUCCCAGGUGUUCAGAAGUGUUUGUUAUAAAAGCUCUCUCAAAAUCAUACUUCAUAGAUGUCAGUUUUUUGGGUUAUUAAGAAUACAUAUAUUUGUAUUUUCCUGCUGGAAUGUGGUCCAGGAAGAAAGUUCUACUUUUGUCAAUAGACAAUUGUGAUUGCAUGAUAUCUUCUGCACUAUUUAACUGCUGCAAGAUCCAUUGUUGGAAGGCUGAAAAUAACCCAGAAUGCUAGUUUGAUUAUUUUUGUUACAUUUCCUCUAACACAAUGACAUUCAUCAUUUCCUAUGAUGUGUGGUUUAUUAACAUGCAGGACCUUUCAUUUGUUGACUUCAGCUUUGCAUGUCUUAAAAAUUUGUUCUUCUCACGUGCCAACCUUCAGUGUGCAAAAUUCCGGGUAGGGUUAGCUUUAUCAUAUGUGAUAUGGAUUAAGGAAUAUAUGUAACAGACAACCUCAAUUAUUGCUUCACAUUAUAUUCUCUUGAGACUUUUCCAUUUUACUCCCUUUACCCUAUGAUAAAUGUUUGAUUCCUUUUUUAUAAUAUUUUAGGAGAGACAAUUAUGACAAAUUCGACCUACACAAAUAAUUUCCCUUAUCAAAGUUCCACCCUCAGAAAUAGAUUAAUUAUUUUGUAAUGAUUGCUAUUCCCACGAACAAGUUACCUUUACAUUUAUUUAUUGGAUCACAAUAAAACCUUUAACAUGUUAAUUGCAGGAUGUGGAUGCUGAGGAUUCCAUAUUUCAUAAUGCAACAUUGCGAGAGUAGGACUCAAAUUGAAACUGGAUCCUUUUUCGUAAAAUUAUUAUUAUGGACUGUUUUCUUGAUUGUAGUUUCUUGCCUAGGGAAGAUGUGAAUUUACUGGUGCAAAUCUUCGUGGAGCUUUAUUAGCUGGUGCCAAUCUUCAGAGUGCAAAUCUACAAGGUAACAUUUGGCCAAUAUGCUGGUAGUUGUUGAGUAUCCUUUUAGAAUCAGUUGUGUUAUGCUUUACGCUUUAUGCACCGAGUCACUUUGUUUUGUUUUUUAUGCUUUAUUAGGCUCAUACUCAAGGGUUACCAUGACCAUUGUACUUUUGCAUAUAAUGUUGGCUCAUAAUUUCUUGAAAUAUGUCUUUGACACCAACACAUUCCAGUAAUGGCGGAUGCCUGAUGGUAUUGCUCUUGAACUUGAAUAUUUGCAAAUUUUAUGAAAGAAGCACUACUUUGCUUCUCUAUUGAUGGCAAAAAGGUUUGGACUUCUCUUGUCAAUGAAAUGAAGCAUAUGGUAAGGUUCAUGCAUCACAAAAUUAAAUGAAAAAUUAGAAGUACAACAAUAAGAAUGUUGAGUUUAGAAUUGAUUUAAAAAAGCGAGUAUAAUGAGUUGAUACCUCUCCCUCCUCUCUGAAAUAAUUAUGGCUUAAAUGAGUAUAAAGGCCUUCUGAAUUCAAUUAUUUGUUGUUACAUUGCAGAUGCUUGUCUGGUGGAUUGCAGCUUCUGUGGAGCAGAUCUGCGCUCUGCGCACUUACAGGUUCAGCAUUUAUUGAUCAUUAGAUUUUAUGGAACAUUAUGUUUGCGUCUGUUUACUGAAGAUGUUUAUUACUUAUUGAUGUUGGUGUGUCUUGUUGGCUUGUUCAUUUGGUGUUUAGUUAUUCUGAUAUACUAAUCUAUUUAGUCAUUUAAUGUUAGACUGCCGAUCUUACCAAUGCCAACCUGGAAGGAGCUAAUUUAGAAGGAGCUAAUCUAAAGGUAAAAGUCUUAUUGUAUGAAAUCCAUGGAUAUAUCAUAAACUGAUAAUAACGCUUACCCUGAUGAGUAUGAAUCAGAGAGUGAUAGGCUUUCACCUAAUUUCGGCAGCUAAUGGGUGUAAUAUAACAAGAUGUGCAUACCUUUGGAAUCCAGUCUAAAAGCAAAAGCCAUUUUAGUAUUUAAAAAAUGAGUUAUCUUUGUAAACUGAUAAUCGGGCUUGCAUUGAGAGGACGAAUCAAACAACAGGGUUGUUUAGCCGAUUAAUUGAUGUUGUGAAGUAAAGAAACUGCUCAAGAAGAGUAUCUCCUUCACCUGGAAGCUUCUUUGGUAAUUGAUGUUGGUUUUGAGGGUUAACUCAUUGAAAUAAUGUUUAUUUCAGGGUGCAAGGUUGAAUAAUGCCAAUUUGAAGGGUGCAAAUCUUCAACGGGCUUAUCUACGACAAGUCAAUCUUCAGAACACACAUUUGGAAAAUACAAGGCUUGAUGGUGCCAAUUUGCUUGGAGCGAUUCGAUGAGAUUGGACCAAAGCUGAUAUGUGAGAAUGAGAAAAAUAUUACUCAGUUGUGAGUAAAUCCAUUUGUUAUCCUUCUUUUUUCCUGCUGGACGUACAUUUCAGUUUGUGAAAGUGAGGUGCAAAUUGUCGAUGGUUUGAAUCAAUUUGAAGGACUUGUUCGUAUGUGGCUUGUAUAUAAAGGUUUCAUAAAAGGAUAAAUAAUUUUCUAAGAUUUUCUGGAAUUAUUAUAUUUUUGAGGUUCAUGUUC